CCUACGGGAGGCAGCAGUGAGGAAUAUUGGUCAAUGGACGCAAGUCUGAACCAGCCAUGCCGCGUGAGGGAAGAAGGUACUGUGAAUCGUAAACUGCUUUUGUACGAGGGCAAACGCGGAUACUAGUCUCUGGAUGAGAGUAUCGUAAGAAUAAGCAUCGGCUAACUCCGUGCCAGCAGCCGCGGUAAUACGGAGGAUUCAAGCGUUAUCCGGGUUUAUUGGGUUUAAAGGGUGCGUAGGGGGUCGGGUAAGUUAGCGGUGAAAACCCGAGGCUCAACUCCGGCAGUCCCUCUGAAACUGUUGGGCUAGAGUGUAGGAGCGGUAGGCGGAAUGCAUGGUGUAGCGGUGAAAUGCUUAGAUAU
rnacentral:rRNA from 1 species